rnacentral:misc_RNA from 1 species
CAACCCUCAAGCCCCCGGGCUUGGUGUUGGGCGCUUGUCCUGCAAAGGACUCGCCUGAAAGCGAUUGGCGGCCAACGUACUGGUGGUAGAGCGCAGCACAAUUUGCGUCUUUCCCCUCUGCGUUAGCGUCCAUGAAGCCUAUUUCAAC